AUAAUUUAUAAAGCACCAACAAAUUCUGCAGCAAAAUACCAAGGUUGUUAUAACACUGACAAUAGAACACCCAAUGCCUCGCUUAAGCUAAACUUUUGAGAUGUACCUUCUAGUGUUCUGAGAAGUCCAGUAAUCCAAAAUGGCAGGAAUUGUAUCCCACAGGGACAGUUGGGAGGUAUUAUUUAAAAUAUGACACCUGACCUUAUUCGAUGAUAUUUGCUG